UACGAAGGGGGCUAGCGUUGUUCGGAAUUACUGGGCGUAAAGGGCGCGUAGGCGGUGUGUCAAGUCAGGCGUGAAAGCCCCGGGCUCAACCUGGGAACCGCGCUUGAGACUGGCACGCUAGAGUUCGGGAGAGGAUGGUGGAAUUCCCAGUGUAGAGGUGAAAUUCGUAGAUAUUGGGAAGAACACCGAUGGCGAAGGCAGCCAUCUGGACCGACACUGACGCUGAGGCGCGAAAGCGUGGGGAGCGAACAGG
rnacentral:rRNA from 1 species